rnacentral:rRNA from 1 species
CACUACAGCCAUAUCACCCUGCAGCCCAAGACCGGCUACUCACUAAAGCUAAGCAGGGCUGAGCCUGGUCAGUACCUGGAUGGGAGACCACUAGGGAACACUAGGUUGCUGUUGGAA